rnacentral:rRNA from 1 species
UUAUUUAAGAAAUAAUUAAUUUUAUUUGAUAAAUAUUUAAAGUUAAUUAAAAUUAUAUAAAAAUUUAAUGUUAUAAUAAUGAUAUUAAAAUAAUUUAAAAAAUAUAAUAGUAAAAGUAAUGUAAAUGAAUAAAAUAAAAUUUUAAAAAAAAAAUUUAUUUUAUUGUACCUUUUGUAUCAGGGAUUAUUAAAAUAAAAUUUAAUUAAUUUAAAUUUCUCGAAUUUAAAAGAGCGAAUAAAUUAUGAUAGUUUACGUAUUAUAGUAAUUAUAAAUAAUUUAUUAGAGAAUAUAUUUUAGUCAAUUUUAAUGAUAUCUAGUUUAUUUUUAUUAAAUUUAAUUUAGACAUAAUUUUAAGAUAUAAUUUACAUAAAAAUAAGAUAUUUUAAAUUAUGUUAAUGAUUUAUGGGCUAAACUAUAAAUUUAUUUAAAAUAUAUUAAUAAAAAUUAUAAUAAUAUUUAUAAAAUUUAAAAUUUAUAAAAAAAAUUUAAUAAUUUAUAUAAAAAAAAUAAAAAUAUUUAUGAAUGUAUUUAAUUAUAAAAAAAUAUAUAAUUUAUAAUAAAAUUAAUUUAAAAAUAAUGAUAAUAUUAGUAAAAAAAAAAUUUAAUAAUAGAUAUAAUUAAUAAGUUAAUUUAAGGAAUUAGGCAAUAUAAUUAGAUUCACCUGUUUAAUAAAAACAUGGCUUUUUGAUAAUAAUUUAAAGUUGGUUCUGCCCCCUGAUUUUAUUAAAUGGCUGCAGUAAAUUGACUGUGCUAAGGUAGCAUAAUCAAUUGUCUUUUAAAUGAAGACUAGAAUGAACGAAUUGAUGAGAUCUAAACUGUCUCAAAUUUAAAAUUUAAACUUUUUUAUUAAGUUAAAAAUCUUAAGUAUUAUUAAGGGACGAGAAGACCCUAUAGAAUUUUAUAUAAUUUAUAUAGAUUUUAAUUAAAUUUUUAAUAUAUAAAAAAUUAUAUUUAGUUGGGAGGACUAUUAAAUUAAUAAAACUUUAAUUUAUUAUAAACCAUUAAUGAAUGAUUUAUUGAAUGAUUAUUAAAUUAAAUAAGAAUUAAUUACCUUAGGGAUAACAGCGUAAUAUUUUUGGCAAGAUCUUAUUAAUAAAAAUGAUUGCGACCUCGAUGUUGAAUUAAGAUAAAAUUUAAAUGGAGAAGUUUAAUAUUUAAGUCUGUUCGACUUUUAAAAUCUUACAUGAUUUGAGUUUAGAUCGGCGUGAGCCAGAUCGGUUUCUAUCUUUAAUUAAAAUAAAUAUAUUUGUACGAAAGGACUUUAUAUUUAAAAUAAUUUUUAAUAUUUUAUGAUAA